UAACGAUAUACGGUACGGCGACCAUUACUGGCAUGAGCACAACACUUUAAACAUUGUAGGAAGAGAUAUAGUUCGCAACAAACGUGUAUAUGCCUACUGUUUUCAAUGCUGCUACUACAAUAAAUGUAACAACCAAUUCUGCUGGCAGAUGAAAACACCUGGUAGCUGGGGAACCUGGACGUCAUGGUCUUCAUGUGACGUCACAUGCGGAAGUGGAACACAAAGCCGUCACAGGGAAUGCGAUAGCCCAAGACCAUCAGACCCGAGACUUUACUGCGCCGGAAACAAUAAGGAAACAAAAUCAUGCCAGAAAAACCUUUGCAAAGGCAUGUUAAACUAGUGCCUUUAACAUUUAUUUGGAAUGUACACGUAUGCUAUUUAUUCUUAAUGGUCUACAACAUACCCUACAUAUAUUGUUAAAGAAGAAUUCUUAAUCAA